rnacentral:rRNA from 1 species
AAAUGCACAGGCUGUGAACUCGAUGAGUAGGGCGGGACACGUGACAUCCUGUCUGAAUAUGGGGGGACCAUCCUCCAAGGCUAAAUACUCCUGACUGACCGAUAGUGAACCAGUACCGUGAGGGAAAGGCGAAAAGAACCCCGGCGAGGGGAGUGAAAUAGAACCUGAAACCGUGUACGUACAAGCAGUGGGAGCACCUUCGUGGUGUGACUGCGUACCUUUUGUAUAAUGGGUCAGCGACUUAUAUUUUGUAGCAAGGUUAACCGAAUAGGGGAGCCGUAGGGAAACCGAGUCUUAACUGGGCGUCUAGUUGCAAGGUAUAGACCCGAAACCCGGUGAUCUAGCCAUGGGCAGGUUGAAGGUUGGGUAACACUAACUGGAGGACCGAACCGACUAAUGUUGAAAAAUUAGCGGAUGACUUGUGGCUGGGGGUGAAAGGCCAAUCAAACCGGGAGAUAGCUGGUUCUCCCCGAAAGCUAUUUAGGUAGCGCCUCGUGAACUCAUCUUCGGGGGUAGAGCACUGUUUCGGCUAGGGGGCCAUCCCGGCUUACCAAACCGAUGCAAACUCCGAAUACCGAAGAAUGUUAUCACGGGAGACACACGGCGGGUGCUAACGUCCGUCGUGAAGAGGGAAACAACCCAGACCGCCAGCUAAGGUCCCAAAGUCAUGGUUAAGUGGGAAACGAUGUGGGAAGGCACAGACAGCCAGGAUGUUGGCUUAGAAGCAGCCAUCAUUUAAAGAAAGCGUAAUAGCUCACUGG